UACGAAGGGGGCUAGUGUUGCUCGGAAUUACUGGGCGUAAAGGGAGCGUAGGCGGAUAGUUUAGUCAGAGGUGAAAGCCCAGGGCUCAACCUUGGAAUUGCCUUUGAUACUGGCUAUCUUGAGUAUGGGAGAGGUGUGUGGAACUCCGAGUGUAGAGGUGAAAUUCGUAGAUAUUCGGAAGAACACCAGUGGCGAAGGCGACACACUGGCCCAUUACUGACGCUGAGGCUCGAAAGCGUGGGGAGCAAACAGG
rnacentral:rRNA from 1 species